CGGGCUGGGGCGGCCCGCAAGGGGCCGGGGAUGCUCUGAGAGGCUCGGCGAGGAGCCGGGAGAGAAAAGUGGGUCCAGAGCGGUCCCCACUCCUUGUCCCAUCGGCUGGGAGUACUUCUGCCCUCGGAUCAGAUCUGUUUUAAAGUUUGUUAUCAGCCUGCUUCUUCUGCCAACGUAGGGGACGGCAAAGAUGCAAAUAUUUGUAGAAGUCAAGUUAUGUGUUGUUUCGGGCUUAUACACCCACAAUUCUGGGAGCAGACUUUUUCUGCGAUCUGUAUCUGACAGCAUUUUGUCCCCAUUUGAGACAAAAAAGGUGCAAAAAAGGUGUUUUGGUGACUAAACACGCUCUUACCGGAAUCACUUUAAAGCAGAGUUUGAAAUCACUGGUGACUUGAGGCACCCGCAUUGAACAGCUGCUUGUGGUCCUGGGGAACACACCCGAGGCUCCCUGAGGGCUGAGUCACACGGCCCAGCUGCAGCUUCAACACCUUAUGAGGAGAAGCAGCCCAUGAAACAGAGAGCACAGAAGUCUAAAUGUACCCUUUUCCUUUUUCUUUUUUUUUUUUUUUUUAAUUUUUAAUUGAGGGCACGUGUUGCCCGUAAUUCAAUCAAUUAAGCAAUUGCAGUAAAUCAAUGAGAUAAAUACAAAUAACACGAGGCUACGGCUUUGAGCUAGGCAGGGUUAGCAAUAAGAGUAGGUUGGGGGUGGGGUUAAAAGCUGGGGCAGUAUCAUUUGGAGAAUCAGGGUGUCUGGUGGAAAACAGCUAGUAAGGGAAUUUCCCCCUCACGUGUCUUCUCUGCGGUGCUAUGGUGACAGUGACGGUGUCGGUCAGCACAGCGCCGUACCUGUGACAGGGCUGCUGAGAAGGUGGGGAGGUGGGAGGGUGACUGGUUAGGGCAACGCUGGCCGUGGUGUGGGGUCUGAGUGCAGGAACCCUCAGGAGAGGAUGGCCAUGGGGUGACUGGCCGGCCGUGGGGUGACCGCGGUAACCGCUCCAGGAUGGCAGCCCAAGGGAUGGGUGUCUUUCCCUGCUGGUGGCCCCCUGUGCCUGCCCAGCCCCAGAGGCGACACCCGCCCCAUCUGCAUGAGGUUCUCAAUGGGUCUAAGGUAGCCGGGCAGGGAGCCUGUCGCCCUCGCUGUGGCCGCUGUCGGUCCCGGCUGGAGGGAAAGCCGUGCCGGCUUUUCCCUCGGGUGCCGGGCACUGCCCCUGGAGCCUCAGUCUCUCCAGAACUCGGCUGUGGAUGGUGAUGCAGCCCCGGCUGUCUGGGGGUACCCAGGGUAUAAAUUUGAAGGAGUUAGAGGGGACUUGAGGAGGUGUUGGGGGAGUGAGCAGGAGCCACACCAUGAGGGCUGGGGAAGGAGCACAAGGGCUGGCAGCAGGAACCUAAAAGAACACAAGUGCCUUGAUCGCAGCCUAGGAGGGUGAGGCCCGUGAAACCCGUCCCUGGAGGGGACCCUCGUGGAUGGCACGCAGGAGUGGAUGGCUGCCGUCGAGGCCGGGUUAUUCCUUUGAAACUGCGAUACUUGGUCCAAGGGAGCAGUGCCCCUGCAGCUCUGUGUGCCUCAGUUCCCACGGGCAGUCCAUUCUGUUCUGCAGGACCCAGAGCAUUGGGGUGACCCGGCUUCCCUGUCACCCUACGGACACUGCCACACCGGGGCAGGGAUGGUGCCUGGCAAGGCCACCUUGGAUGGAGCAGUGGCUUUGAGACCCUCCCAAGGCUUUAUGCCCCAAAAACGCUGCCUGCCUGCCUGUGAGGAGCAGAGAGAGACAUCCCGGGGGAAACCGAGCUCUGGUGUCAGACUGGUCUGGUCCCACAACGCAGGUGAGCAGUCCUUGGAAUCCACACCAUGUCCAAAGCCAACCUGCCCAGUAAUGCAAGGAGGAAAUUGUUGAAAGGGUGAGCUGCUCUUCUCCAUCUUCAUUGUCAGGAAUAUCAUCCUUCGCAUUGCAGUAAUGGAGCAAUGCUGCCUUUCGUUUCUGAACACUGAAACUGAAAGAUGUUCCUUCCUAAUGUUUUGAAAUGUUGGACUUUUUUUUUUUUUUGACGGAGUGGGAGCUUUUAAGUUUUUCUGGGUUUGUAGGGGUUUUUUCCCCUUAUUUUCUAUUUAGGAGAAAAGGUGGGAGGAAGUAGAGAAGGAGAAUAUAAUGGGGGGAUGGCCUUGUUCUCACUUUCCUACUGAAAACGUUUCAGGAAAAGGAACAAAAAACAGUGAAAAUGGGUAGAAGCCCACUUCAGUUUCAUGUUCCUAUUCCUUCCCUUUUUUUUGCUUGAAAGAAGGAAGGCCAAAAAAGUAAGUGGGACAAACUCCACGUGUUUUGAAUUAUUCUCCCCUUAAUGAGAUAGAAAAACAUCUCAUUUUCAAAAUUACUUCCUUUUUCAAUGAAGAAAAUCGAACAGAGAAAGAAUCCUUCCAAUACCAAUCUUUCCACUGUCAUUUUCCCACUCACUCCUCACUCAGUGCUGUCCAGUCUUUCUGGCUGUGCCACACCAGGUUGUUUGCGAUUGUAUUUGCCGUUUUUUGAACUGUUGUCACAGAUGUUCUUACCUGCUGCACAGCUGGACCCCAUGGUCUCCAUGGUGUGGAGGUGGCAGCACCUUGUCCCCUUGCCCUGGGGAGGGUGGGACAGGCUGGACUGCAGCAUCCCUGUCCCUCAUGGUGGCUAAGGCAGAGAGAGCCUGGCAAGGCUCCCAGAUUGACAAGUGAAAGUGUUGCUGUGCUGCUUGGGCACAAGAAAUGGGUUGAUUCAUGAAGACAUGAUCUAGAAAAGCCACUAAAAAUCCCCCCAAAAAUGAGAGCCCCGACUAAAAAAACCAGACCUCGUUACUGGAGGAAAAAAACUUCAGUGCACAACCCAAGUAUUUCCUGAGUGUUCAAGAACACCCACAAAUUAUGUAAAAAUAGAUGAGAAUUUAUUUAUUUGAUUUAAUUAUGAGUCUAGAUUGUGAUUUUUGGGGUGGGGCUGGAGAUGGUGCAAUUGAAAAAACAAUUGUGCAAAAAGCCAGGGCAAGUCGUCAGCCCUGGGGCACAGAGGAGCUGCUUCAGCCCUUCCUCACCAAACACAGAGCACUGCAGAACCCACCAGGAGCUCUCAGAGUUCUUGGGUGGAGACCAGGGUAGCUGUUUCUCCAUGGAGCUCUAGGGCUUUGGUCCCACAGUGCGUGGAUGAGGCUGCUGGGUUCCAUGGCCAUGGCCAGUUUGUGCUGGAGGGAAACUGGCUCAUCAAUUCCUGCUGAUACAUCAUCAAGGUAGGUCUGUCAUGGUGAGCAUUAGCUGCCCCUGGUGGGUCACCCUUCCCAUCCCCAUUGGCUGACUCCCAGAGCUGCUGAACCUGGCUAUGGGAGAUGUUCCUGUCCCUGCUGUGAGGGUCUGGAUGGGCUCGGAGGCUGCCACGUCUCUGCCUCUGACGUAAAACCAAACCCUCAAUCUUUGCCUGUUUAGCUGGAUAGAAAAUACCUCUCCUGUCACCAGAGUUCAUCACCACCACGUUCUCCACCAGUCUUUGAGCUAUUUAUCUCCUCCUACCUCCCUUGCAGUGCGUGCUUCUCCUCUCCAGCUGACAGCCUGGGACAGCCCCGACAUCAGCUGCUGGUGGAGCUCUCUGUGCAGAAAGCCAGUCCUGAACGUGUGGCCUUUGCUCCCCCCAGCUGUCAUAUCCUCCAGGAUCUGCAACAAGUCCUGAUUUUACAGACCCCAUCUUGACAGUCCCCAAUCUGAUCUGACCACCUGGUUUGUUUUUGAAUCGAGCACUUGAGUCAUAACAUUUCUGUUUAUUUCAACAACUGUAUUCCUUGCAUAGGAAAUGAGCCAAGAUGGUCUAAGGCGGGGAUAGCGAAGCAUGUCAUGGCUGUAAUUACUUUUGCUCUCCCAAUAUAAAAUUUUACAGUAUAAUCAAAACCUUAUUUUCGUAGCACUGGACUCUGUUAUUGACUUAAUCUUCUUAAGUGCUCCUAUUAUUCCAGUGAUUUCAUCGUUGUAUGUUGAUUUUAAUCUUUUGAUCUCCAUAUUAGCUACUGCCUGCAACUAAUUUGUUGCUCAGUGUUUUUCUUUGUUUUGACCUGUGAGGCAUUUUCCUCAUGGCACACAACUCUGCUGGCAGAUUGCAUAUAAUCUCUGCACUUUUUUUCUCCCAUAUUUUGCAUAGUUACAACAAAUGCGGAUUUAUGACUUGAAAUGGAAUAUGUAUCUUUCAGAAAGGCUGAGGAAAAUAUCACUUCAGGUUUAGCUUGAAAGCCUAAACUUGUUUGAUCAAAGGAAAUAUCAUGGAAUGCAGCUCACCAGAGAGAGGUGUCACACAGGCUUUUUUUAGUCCAGCAAGUUCAUGAUGGGUGAAAACUGCAAUAAUUAUAUUAUAUGCAGUCAGGAUCGAAGAGUUCUGAAAGCAGGGCUAGACAUAAGAUGGAGAAGGCUGGGUUUUGUGAAUGGCUCAAAGGACUCUCCCAGCCAAGCUUGGUUUGAUACAACAGUGGCUUUGUUGAAUCCUGGCAACAUGGAACAGGUUUUUGAACAAAUACUGGUGAUGGAAGUGCAGAGUUCUCAGCUCCACAGCCGAAGUGCAGAGGUGGACAUAGAGCUCAGCUGCAUUUUGGUUGCCCAUUAAACAGCAACUUUUUUCCCUUUGGUAUUGAUGUUUUAACCUGUGCAGAUUUAUCAUGUGCUUUGUUUGCAUUAGCUUUUUCUUUUAAAGCUUAGAGAAAUAAUUUUUGCCUUAGGUUUGCUGUGACUUUUUAAAAAAUAACACAGCCUGAAUGUUGGCAAAAUCAUCUUUGCUUUGUUGCAUGCCUGUUUAUGCUUCUGAACACAAAUUGUCUUCUAAUAUUUUUGACGUUUUGGUCACUAGAAAGGCAGAAAAGCAAUUUCUAAGAUGCCUAUGGGCCAGAAGAAAUGCAUUACAGCAGAGGGGAAAGAAUCUGUUAGUUGGUGAAAUAUAAAACAAAUUGGAUGAACAGCUGCUGACACUUGUCAGUCAAAUAGUUGAUAGCAUUUUCAGUCUCCAUGCCACAUGCUUUAAGUAAGUCUGUCAAAAAAAGGAUAUUUUCGCUGGACUUCCCUGUAAAUAUGAGAGAAGUUUUGGCCUGAUCUAUCAUUUAAAAUUUUGCUGGCAGAAGAAUGAAAUUUUCCUCUUUUCCCAAAACUGAUUGACAUAACUGCACAGGCAGAUUCUUCAUCUAGGUGCAGUUGUACUGGCACCAAGUCCUUUGACUGCUGGAGCUCGUUCCAUCACAGCAAUGGGCUGAGGUGAACCAGCAGCAGAUCUUUGCCACCUUUGCCAGUGCUCUCAUCUAUCCAUAUCUCAUAGGUGCUGCCCAAGGUGUAGCUUUGCUCUGCAGGAGCUGAGCCCUGUCCAGACUGUAGUGUGUGGCCAGGAGGGAUUCAAACCUCCCUGAAAAAUUAAUAUUUUUCAGGUAAAACCAAACCAUUUUGUAUUUGACAUUUUUUCAGGGUUGACCCAAGUUGGCUCUUCCCACUCCUACACCACAGUGCCCUCAUUUAGGGGAGGGUUGGGCUGCCAGCACAGCCUGGCCACGUGCAGGUUAAAGGCAGUGGGAUCAGGGGCACUGCACUCCUUUGCUCAGCCACAGGCUGCAGGCUGUGGAGUGGGAGGUUCAAUCCUGCUUUGCAGCAAUGCUGUAAGAUCUUCCCCCUGCUUACACUAAAGUACAUAACCUUGAAGCUCAUCUUUUGGGUCCAAAUGUCUUAAAAAUAGUGAGUUGGCUAAUGCUUCCCUGUUCUGUGGUCAAGCCUCAGGUCUGUGGAAUUUCUGGGGUGCCUUUUUGGGGUUUGAGGUCACAAAAAGCUGUCACAGGCCAUGGGGUCACUGCUCAUGACAGAGGCACUCAGCUGAGGGUGUCCAAUCACUGCUGCUUUAGGGAGGUACCGACGUGUGCUAGCAAUGCACAGCCAGGGAGCAUCUCCUCAAGGCUGCACCCACACUCUCUCAUUCAAAAAACUGAGCAGGGCUCACUAUUUUGAAAGGUGGCAGGUGGAAGUGGGCUGUGUUUUUAUCCAAUAAAUAUUUUGUGUUUAAAAAAAAAAAAAAAAAAAAAAGGGAGACAUUUCCAGAGCAGAAUCAAGCUGUUUCUCCAGCUCUGCUCUGCCUGAGUGCCAGCAGAGCUAUAAAUUUCCAUGUCCUUCAGUGCUCUUUGGUACCAGCCUGGUGACCAGCCCAGUAAGGCUUUUCUAGGGCUUCCUCUUGGAGCUGUUGUCCUUCACAAAAGGCAUCUAAGGGAGAGGAUAAAGAGUUCAUGAACUCACGUGUGCAGCAGUAUUUGUGUGGGUCUCAAGUGGGUCUCAACCCCCUAGAAAGGACCAGGCGCUGCUUGCAGUUUGUUCCUUGCUUUAGAUCUUGUGAGACUUGCUUUAACAGGGAUGUCCUGGGAGGGCUUCAGGGUGGGAUUGAAGGCUCCAAGCAAAAUAAGGUCAAGGAAUUAAUAAUUUUUGUGUACAUGCCAGUGACAGACCCGCAGAGGCAUCUGAACAGGUUUUGAUAGACUUGAGUAUGACUUAAAAUCUCAAUUACUACCCCAGCUCCCAGUAGGAGGACCCAGGGCCAAGCAGUUGCACUGUAGAGGUGGGUAAGAGAGGGAAAAGCUUCCCGUGUCUGUGGUCACAAAGCCAAAUUCCUGCCUAAGUCCUCAGAAGUAGCUUUUUCUGGCAAUGCUUCCCUCUACCAGUAGCACAGCGCAAGACAAGUAUCAAGUCUGCUGGGCUACAGUCAGGGCUCAAAAUUAGUCUAUUCUGGUGCAUCAGAUGGCUUCUCAACAUGUCAGUGGUGCUAAAUGUGCACAUCCACCACCCACUCCUGAAGUGAAGCCCCUGCUAAUGCCCCUCUUCCAAGGGGGUGGCGUUCCCAGACACCUGGGAAAGGUGGAUGCUGAAUGUGUGGGGUGUGGCCAUGCAGGUGGGGCUGCAUGGCACCUCCACAGCAGAUGCUAACACAGAGGGAAGGGACCCAAAAAUCCAAAUCCUAAUCUCUUCCCAUAUGUCCAGGGUGGGUCUCAUGUUUUUUGGGCUCUGGAAGACGGUUUAAUUGUUCAUUAUGUCAGGAAGGCUCAUCCAGGAAGGACAUUUUCCCAUUUGCUCAUUAUUUAUUUGUGAGGGAUUUGUCCUGGUUCCCCAGGCUGGCCACAGGUUGCUGUGUCUGGGGGCAAAGCACACCAGUUCUUCUGCUGCUCUCAAAUGACUGAGACCUGGGCUAGCAGUUCUGGUGUGAAUCAGCUCAUGGGAGGGAGGGACUGCAAAACCUCUAAGAAAACUCUCAGUCUAACAGAGGAUCACAGAGUGGAUUGGGCUGGGAAGGACCUUAAAUAUGAUCUACUUCCAACCCCCUGUCAUGGGUAGGGAUACCUUCCACUAAACCAGACUGCUCAGAGCCCCUGACCAUGAACGUUUUCAGAGAUGGGGUAUCCAUGACCUCCCUGGGCAGCCAGUUCAAGUGUGUUCCCAUUAAACACGUGUUCCAUCAAACCAGACUUCUAUUUAAUUUCAUCUCAGGGUUUGUCUCUGCCCUGCUGCACUAAGGCUGCUUUGGGAGAAGUUAAAUUACAAACUGGGGCCUUUUGAAGGAGGAUAAGUGUUGGGUAAGGCUGAUGGCCAAAUAAUAACUGGGGCUGAACCAGAGCAGACAUCAAUUAGAUGUCAAGGGAUAAAUCACAAGACACAGAGUGCAGAUACUGGUGGAGACAGCUGUGGUGGUCAUAGCAGAAAUGCUCUUGUACCUGGGGAACAGACAGUGUAUUCCCAAUCCUGACCUUGGGGAGCAAAUGAGGAAACCAUCUUCUUAAUUAAUAAACUAAAGAACACCCAUGAGAAAAGAAAAUGCCUUUAUUCUGUGAGGUUGGGGCUCUUACAUCUCAGCUUAGUUUGGUUUUUUUUCUAAGGCAGACAUAAAAAGACUCCAUAAUUUAUUAUUAGGACAUCUGAAUAGUUAUUUAUUGAGAAGCCACAGUUCUCACACUUUUACAACUGUCGGCUUGUAUAAGGCAAAAAAAGCAAGAUGGAUCACUAUUUUACACAGAAAGUAAAAGCUCUGGAGAAGGAACUGAUGGACAUGCAGUUACUGGUCAAAAUGCAAUGUACAUGACAUAUAUAAAAACCAUUGUGAAACAGAGGAAUUGUAAAUUAUGGUUACAAUCUACCGAAAUAAAUAUUCAAUAUAUUAUUAUAAACACAUUUGUAGAGUCUAAGAUUGUAAUUAAAGUUGUCUUUGUACAUACACGGUUAUUUGAAAUUUAAACAAAAA